GAUGAACGCUGGCGGCGUGCCUAAUACAUGCAAGUCGAGCGAACGGACGAGAAGCUUGCUUCUCUGAUGUUAGCGGCGGACGGGUGAGUAACACGUGGAUAACCUACCUAUAAGACUGGGAGAACUUCGGGAAACCGUAGCUAAUACCGGAUUAUAUUUUGAACCGCAUGGUUCAAAAGUGAAAGACGGUCUUGCUGUCACUUAUAGAUGGAUCCGCGUUGCAUUAGCUAGUUGGUAAGGUAACGGCUUACCAAGGAAACGAUGCAUAGCCGACCUGAGAGGGUGAUCGGCCACACUGGAACUGAGACCCGGUCCAGACUCCUACGGGAGGCAGCAGUAGGGAAUCUUCCGCAAUGGGCGAAAGCCUGACGGAGCAACGCCGCGUGAGUGAUGAAGGUCUUCGGUUCGUAAAACUCUGUUAUUAGGGAAGAACAUAUGUGUAAGUAACUGUGCACAUCUUGACGGUACCUAAUCAGAAAGCCACGGCUAACUACGUG
rnacentral:rRNA from 1 species